CUACGUGCCAGCAGCCGCGGUAAUACGUAGGGUGCGAGCGUUAAUCGGAAUUACUGGGCGUAAAGCGAGCGCAGACGGUUACUUAAGCAGGAUGUGAAAUCCCCGGGCUCAACCUGGGAACUGCGUUCUGAACUGGGUAGCUAGAGUAUGUCAGAGGGGGGUAGAAUUCCACGUGUAGCAGUGAAAUGCGUAGAGAUGUGGAGGAAUACCGAUGGCGAAGGCAGCCUCCUGGGAUAACACUGACGUUCAUGCUCGAAAGCGUGGGUAGCAAACAGGAUUAGAUACCCUGGUAGUCCACGCCCUAAACGAUGUCAAUUAGCUGUUGGGCAACUUGAUUGCUUAGUAGCGUAGCUAACGCGUGAAAUUGACCGCCUGGGGAGUACGGUCGCAAGAUUAAAACUCAAAGGAAUUGACGGGGACCCGCACAAGCGGUGGAUGAUGUGGAUUAAUUCGAUGCAACGCGAAGAACCUUACCUGGUCUUGACAU
rnacentral:rRNA from 1 species